GGAGACAGAAUGGCUGUUUUAAGGUAGGAGACACAGGAACGCAUUUAUUUGCUGCAGAGAAACCUAGUGAACAAAAAGCAAAUGGUACAAGGAUAAGAGGUGACUGCAGAAGGUUUGGGAGAGGCAGGACUGCCGGGAUCCAGAAUGAAGGGUGCAGUGGGCAGCAGGGGGGUGAGAACUGAGAGCGCACUGCGUUUGUCUAGUGGGGGUGGCUGUUUGCUGAAAGUGCAGAGGCUUCAGCAGCAGGAAGCAUGGAGUCUGCUGAGGUCCCCAGGAGGCUGGCCAGGAACUCACAGUGGCUCUGGGCCCCCUGAAGGGGUCACGGGCCAAGGUGGGGACAAGGGACAUCCAUGUGGCAUCACUCCGUUUGGCCGUGCAGUUUCAGGUCUGAGAACAGGCAGGAAGGGAGUCCACAGUGGAGAAGGGGUCCAGGUGCUGACCCAGGGCCCGGCAGUGGUGAGGGGAAAAGAUGGGGCCCUCUGGCCCCACAGUGAGGAAGUGAAUGCGAACAGCAGGGAAAUGAGGAGGGCUUCGAGGGAAGCCACGGUGCAUCUGUGCCUGUCCCCGCUCUUAUCCCCGGUGUGCAAGGACCUGACGGGCGUGAGGCUGCUCUCCCCCUAGGCUGCUGCACUUCCACUCCAUCAGUCAGUUCCUCCUUGGCUGGCUGCUCCAGACAGAACACUAAGAGGAUCCUGGGGUGCUCCAGAAUUCACAAGAAGAUAGAGAACCUGGCCGAGGGACGUGGAGCAGCAGGGUCCCUGCCCAGAAGAGCCUGAGAGGACUGCCGUCCCUGGGUCCUGUCCUCAGGAGCGUCCAAGUGGUCAGGCACGGGUUUCGCUCCCAGAGGUGGAACAAAGGAGUGCCUGACUCCUGGCUUCUGGGCAGAAGGGGAGCGAGGAAGAUGCCUCCUCAACACAGGAAGGAAGCCCACACCGCCUGCAAACCUCCGUGUAUUUCCGUCACGGGAAGAAAUUAGGAGAGAGGCAAACGCUGUUGGCUUUUACUUAUUGGCCAAAUAUUUACUCAGCACCUGUGAUAUUCCAGUCCCUGCUCUGUUCUGGGUGCUGGGGACGCAGUCAUGCGGGAGAUGGAGGGAGCCCUCCAGCCCAGGGAGCUCACACGCGUGGGGAGGGCCGGGUCACAGUUCACUUCUGGUCCUGGCAGUCAGUGGGGAAAAAUGAGGAAAGCGAGGUUCUGCAGAGCCCUGAGGUGGAAGCUCAUUUGGAAAAAAGGAUCAGGUGAAGCCUCUCCGAGACAGUGACAUGUGGGCAGAGACCACCAUGAUGAGAAGGUACUGUAUAAUACACCGUAGCAUGGGCAGAACUGAGUUGGUGGUGGGGCGCUGAGGCAGUUUCCAGUUCUUCACUAUCACGACAUUACUAUGCCAAACAUCCUCGUCGAUCAAUCUUCGCUAUCUAGUUUCCCAGAAAACGAUCUAGUUUUUUGAAGGGUGUGCACAUUUUAAAGUCAUCUGCUUGAUUUUGCCAAAUUGGCCUCCAGAGGGACUACUGACCGCACCUCACGAGCAGGGAAGCAUAUGCCCGUUUCCUCACAUCCUGCCAACGCUGGGCAGCACUGUCCUUUCGGAUUGAUUCUGGUCUGACGGGCAAGGAACUCUACGUCAUUGUCAGGGCUGGUUUUGUGAGCCAUUUUAGGCAGCCUUCGUCCAUUCCUCCAUCUGACCAGGCAGCCUGCACGAGCGGGCUUCAUCUGACCUGCUUUGAAGCGGCGCACACGGGAUGUUUAAUGAACAGCCGCAGGCAGUGGAGGAGGAGGGUCCCCGGAGCCUGGGACAUCAGCUUUCAGUAGCAUGCGAGCAGCUGCAGGAGCCCUGAACAGAAGCGGGGAUGGCAGGCUGCUCUUCCCAACGCUGCCUGAACUGCCCCAGUGGGGCCACCUCCCAAGGUGGACCUCCCUCCGAGAACCUCCUCUUCCCCUUGGCUGUGUUUCAGGUGGUCUGCCUUCGUCUUCACUUUCAUUUUUCAUGGUUAGGCCCAGCUCUUCCUCACAUUUGUAGUGCAUCCCGUGAAGUCUCGAGCGCUGAGGCAGGGGCUGCGGGUGUACUACGAGCGCAUCAGCGGGAGUUCUCGCUUUGUGCUUAACCAGUCAGUCGAGUAGACAAAGAGUGUGACAGCCCCUCGUACAACAAUCUGCCCUUCUUCCUGGGGUCAGUCUGGGCACAGAGCCCAGUAGGGCAGCCACCAGUGAAGGCAGCCAGUAAGCUCUGCGGCCGCCGCAGGCAGCACAGUGGAGCAGCAGCUCACUGAAGACCCGGUGAGUACAACGCGGCAGGAAAGAAGAAUUAGGAGCCCUUUACAACCCAGUCAGGGACGACGGCCAGAGCACACCCUGAACAGCAAGGAAGGUGCAGGAAUGGCGGAUCGUGCCCACGCAGAGGCUGGCGGCCAGCCGGGGGCUCUGGCUCAGGAGAAGAGGCGCAUUUUCAACAUCAAAUUUGAAAGGGGUACUUUCAAAAAGGUACUCCGUGGUACCUUAUGAAUUUUAUUUGAAUGCUUUUAUCUACUUAGAAAAAUAAAAAUAAAAUCAAUCAACA